UACGGAGGGGGCUAGCGUUGUUCGGAAUACUGGGCGUAAAGCGUGCGCAGGCGGUUCGUCGUGUCUGAUGUGAAAGCCCCGGGCUCAACCUGGGAAUGGCAUUGGAAACUGGCGGACUAGAGUGUGGCAGAGGGGGGUGGAAUUCCGCGUGUAGCAGUGAAAUGCGUAGAGAUGCGGAGGAACACCGAUGGCGAAGGCAGCCCCCUGGGCUAACACUGACGCUCAGGCACGAAAGCGUGGGGAGCAAACAGG
rnacentral:rRNA from 1 species